rnacentral:tRNA from 1 species
GCCGGAAUAGCUCAGUUGGGAGAGCGUUAGACUGAAGGUAUAUGUAUAUGCUGAAAUCUAAAGGCCCCCGGUUCAAUCCCGGGUUCCGGCA